CUGCUGCCUCCCGUAGGAGUUUGGGCCGUGUCUCAGUCCCAAUGUGGCCGUUCACCCUCUCAGGCCGGCUACUGAUCGUCGCCUUGGUGGGCCUUUACCCCGCCAACAAGCUAAUCAGACGCGGAUCCAUCGUAUACCACCGGAGUUUUUCACACUGCUUCAUGCGAAGCUGUGCGCUUAUGCGGUAUUAGCACCUAUUUCUAAGUGUUAUCCCCCAGUAUACGGCAGGUUUCCNCNCGUCU
rnacentral:rRNA from 1 species